rnacentral:rRNA from 1 species
UAACACGUAGGUGACCUACCUCGAAGUGGGGAAUAACAACCCGAAAGGGUUGCUAAUACCGCAUACGUUCCGCGUUCUGCGCGGAAGAAAGUGGAGCGCAAGCGACACGCUUCGGGACGGACCUGCGGCCCAUCAGGUAGUUGGUGAGGUAACGGCCCACCAAGCCGAUGACGGGUAGCUGAUCUGAGAGGAUGACCAGCCACACUGGCACUGAUACACGGGCCAG